rnacentral:rRNA from 1 species
GGAAUAUUGGACAAUGGGUGAAAGCCUGAUCCAGCCAUCCCGCGUGAAGGAUGACGGUCCUAUGGAUUGUAAACUUCUUUUGUAUAGGGAUAAACCUAGAUACGUGUAUCUAGCUGAAGGUACUAUACGAAUAAGCACCGGCUAACUCCGUGCCAGCAGCCGCGGUAAUACGGAGGGUGCAAGCGUUAUCCGGAUUUAUUGGGUUUAAAGGGUCCGUAGGCGGACCGAUAAGUCAGUGGUGAAAUCUCAUAGCUUAACUAUGAAACUGCCAUUGAUACUGUCGGUCUUGAGUAAAUUUGAAGUGGCUGGAAUAAGUAGUGUAGCGGUGAAAUGCAUAGAUAUUACUUAGAACACCAAUUGCGAAGGCAGGUCACUAAGAUUUAACUGACGCUGAUGGACGAAAGCGUGGGUAGCGAACAGGAUUAGAUACCCUGG